CUUUUUGGAGACAGAUUCGCAGUGGUCGCUUCUUCUCCUUGGAUUUGUUAAGGAUUCCAAGUAACUCUUAUUUGGUGAGUAAAUCUGCUAAUUGUUUUUUGCUUAUCAGCUCUUUGUCAAUGAUUUCUGUAAUGGAAAUAGGAUUGAAGAGACUUUUAUUCUAGUUGGUCAGGAUUUACCUCUGAGGCAUUUAAUCAUUCUCAGAGCAAUAGCCAAAUAUCGACUUUGCUGCAUUUUUGUAGGCAUGUUGACAUAACUUCAACAUAUGCUCUGUUCUGUAAAAAUUGCUUUUUUUAGUCAGCUCAUUAAAAGUGCAAAGUAGUAAAAGCUGCCCUAGUGAACUGUAGGAAGCCUAAUUGGCUUUAUCUACAUGUGUAGCCUGAGCUGAGAAAGAUACUAGCCCUUGAAAAUACUGUGGGUGAUUAGCAAUAUUGGAUUUGUCGGUUACUCCAAUUCCUCACUAAUGAGCAUUCCAACGUGGAUACCCUGGGAGGUCACUCUCCCCAGGCUCUGUCCAAGUGGCAUAGGGGAGCUUAGGGCUCUGCCCCAUGAUGUACAGUCCCUUUCCACAACGUUGAAGAUGAAGCUGGGCCUCGUGUCUGCGCCUGCAUAUUCCUACAGCUUCCCAGAGUCCUGUGGACAAUGACUGGGGAGACAAACCAUGCAGGAAACAUAUCUAGUAUACUAGAUUUUAAGUUGAAGUAGGAUCUUCAGGAGUCUAAUCAUUAUUUCUUUUCUUUUAGGAGAGAAGACGAUCUGCACUUCGCAUUUUGGCAUUGACAUUUAAUUUUAGGGUCCUUUAUAUAGAAGGGAGAGUAGACCCUACCGCACAAGAUUUUCCUAAACAGACCGAACUCAAGGAGUCUUUCUGGUUGUUAGUCCACGUGUCCCGA
rnacentral:lncRNA from 1 species